UUCAACUUAGGCUCUGGCUUCACCUAGCAACGCAAGUCAUUCACCCAAGAAUGGCGCCAGGGGUGUGUGGUUGAAUGGGAGGUCACGUGUCGGACAAAGACCGAUUUCAGGGUUUUGUCAUAAAAGAGUCAGUUGUCACCCCCUCCCCACCAGAGUCUUACUCCACCCACAUUUCCUGUUUGAAAAUUGCACCACAAGGAGGUGUUGCCUGCUGAACUGAGAGAGCGGUUCUGCAACAGUGUGACGAAAGACUGCUAAAGCCCUCCCCAUCCCCACCCUGGCUGGCUCUUCUUGGAGACUCUUGUGGCUAGGGGUGUAACAAAUCAUCUUUGAUCCGUACGGAUCUCUCUCCACGGAUCGGUCAUGUGGAGGAUGGAGGCGCUAUCUGUUCCAUCCAAAGGAGAAAUGCACAGCUGUGGUCAUGGCGAAGGAGGAGAGGAGCUUCAGAAACCACCUGCAUCAUUUAAGUUCACGUAUGAGAGCAUUUAGACUCCCGUGUAAAUUACAAUGAUACAAAUGGCAAAAAUUGACGCACGCACGUGCCUCCCUUCUGACAGCGCAGCUCAUACCUCCAAUCUCUGUGAAAGGAGGGAAUGGGUGGUACGUCAUGUGAAACAUAAACAAGGUGGGAACUGUAAAUAUUGUUGGGGACAAAUCUGUAAAAGAGCACAAAAACUAAAUAAACGGCGCAUCAGAAAGGUGAUGAAAUAAGUGGAAGCUGGACACAAAGGGAGAGUGUGUUUAUAGGGCAAGCCGUUUUAACAUUUAAUCAGCAAUCGGACCUCUCUGUAAGUUCUGCUUUUAUAACUACAAUGCUCACAAGAAUUAAAGGAACACUUUUUUUAUUGGGCCUGGCAUGAAAUCAAUUAAACAUGUCUGAUAAUUUCCUGGUUGAUUAAGCAGCUGAGGGCAUUGUUGAUCACUUUCAGCUGUAUUGGUUUUCAUGGACUUAACGACAGGUGCACUAAAAUGGCAACAAUUACAAAACCCUCAAAACAGGACUGGUUUAACAUGUAGAGGUCAUUUCAAGUUUCUCCCUCUUGAACUUUUUCUGCUGGUUUUCCACUCGUGCUAGUUUUAGCUCUCUACUGGCAGUAUGAGGCAAUUCCUUAACCCUACAGAAGUUGCACAGGCUGUCCAACUUCUCCAGGAUGGCACAUCCACACUUAAUGCAGCAAGAAGGUUUAACGUGUCUCCCAGCACAAUCUCCAGAACAUAGAGGAGAUUUCAGGAGUCUGGCGGUUAUUCUCGGAGAGCUGGACAGGGCAGUAGAAGGUCCACAACCCACCAGCAGGACCGAUACCUGCUCCUUUGUGCAAGGUCGAACAGGCUGAGCACUACUCGUGCCCUACAGAAUGACCUCCAGAGGGCCACUGGUGUGAAUGUCUCUACCCAGACAAUCAGGAACAGACUUCAUGAAGAUGGCCUGAGGGCCCAGCACCCUGUAGUGGGCCCUGUGCUCACUGCCCAGCACCGUAGAGCUCGACUGGCAUUUGCUCAAGAACACCAGAAUUGGCAAGUCCGCCACUGGUGCCCUGUACUUUUACAGAUGAUAGCGGUUUCACCCUGAGCACCUGUGAUAGACGUGAAAGGGUCUGGAGAAGACAAGGAGAACGUUAUGCUGCCUGCAACGUCGUUCAUCACGACAGGUUUGGUGGUGGGUCAGUGAUGGUCUGGGGAGGCAUAUCCAUGGAGGGACGCACAGACCUCUACUGCCUAGGAAAUGGUGCUCUGACUGCCAUAAGGUAUCGAGAUGAAAUCUUUGUACCCGUUGUCAGACCCUACGCUGAUGCAGUAGGUCCUGGUUUUCUCCUAAUUCACGACAAUGCCCGGCCUCAUGUGGCAAGAGUAUGCAGGCAGUACCUGGAAGAUGAAGGAAUUGAAACAAUUGAAUGGCCUUCACGAUCCCCUGACUUAAACCCAGUAGAACAUCUGUGGGACAUUAUGUUUUGGUCCAUUAGGCGGUGCCAGGUUGCUCCUCAGACUGUACAAGAGCUCAGGGAUGCCCUCACACAGAUCUGGGAGGAAAUGCCACAAGACACCAUCUGUUGUCUCAUUAGGAGCAUGCCCCGACGUUGUCAAGCAUGCACACAAGCUCGUGGGGGCCACACAAGAUACUGAAAAGCAAUUUGAGUUGCAGAAAUUAAGUUUUUGAAAUAAUGGACUGGCCUGCCACAUCUUCAUUUCACUCCGAUUUUAGGGUGUCUACACAGUUGAGCCCUCUGUAGGCUGAUAACUUUUAUUUCCAUUAAAAGACUUGGCAUCCUUUUGUUCCUAAGACAUUGCCCUGUCGUUAUUUGUAUAGAUAUCCAACUUCAUAUUGAGAUCUGAUCUAUCUAAUGUGUUUCUUUAAAGUGUUCCUUUAAUUUUUGUGAGCAGUGUAGUUGCAAAUCGAGCAGAAAAUGAGUGCACCCCGUCUGCAUGGCCGAAGAAUGCUGGAGAUAGACACCCGCCUUCCACAACCCUGCAUGGAUAUGCGGGUACAGAGGAUGGAUGGCUAUAAAAUUAACAUAAUAUAAAUGUAAACAGUCACAGGUUGAGGAAUCUGGGUUAACUAGCUUAAUGUAAAGGUGCUGUAGUGCACUAAUUAUCCAGCAGAACUACUGUUAGUGCAGCCUCCUAGCAGCAACAUUCAGUUCAGUGAUGGCUUUUACAUAAAAGCUGUUUAACGGCCUGGUGGUGUGUUUUUGUUGCCUUGUAUCAUUUACCAGACAGAAGAAGUCUGAAGAGAUGGUUAACAAGGUGGGUUGAGUCCUUUAGAGUGUGGUUUUUUGAAGGCAGCGAGUGGUGAAGAUGUCAUCAGGGCAGGCAGGUGUGUGCUUGUUAUGUUCUCUGCAGUUUUGAUUAUUCUCUGCAGGGCCUUCCUGUCAGCUGCAGAGUUGCUGCUGUACCACACCAGAAUGUUGUUGGUCAGAACGCUCUCUACAGAGCAGUGACAAAACCACACCAGCAGUUUUUGUGGCAGUUUGAUCUUCCCGAGAGCCCUCAGGAUUCAUAAUCAUUGUUGUGCCUUCUAUAUCAGACAUUUGGUGUUGUGUGUCCAUGUGAGGUCCUCUGUUAUGUUUGUGCCCAGGAACACCCUCUCCACCUGUUCCCCAUUUACUGUGAGUGACUGAUGCUCCACCAAUGAUGAUUUCUUUGGUUUUGUUGGUGUUCAGAGUCAGGUUGUUAGCUGUCCACCAGUCCACCAGCUGCUGCACUUCUGUCCUGUACGCUGACUCAUUUCCCUGGCUCAUUGGGCCCACCAUGGUGGUAUUAUCAGCAAAUUUAAUGAUAGUGUUGGUGUUGUGGGCAGGUUAGGGUUAGCCUUGAUGUGUUGCAGCACUCUCUCCAUGCUCUUCAUACUGGGAGGUUUUUAGUCAUGUGUUCGAGCAAGAAUUUAAGAGAUUACGCAUUGUUCAUUUACCAAAAAUUAGGAGGAGGGGUAAUGUUGAAUACUACAAAGGCAAGUUAGAAAUAACUGGAAUUAGUCUAAAUGUUUCACUAAACAUUUCAACUUGAGUUCAUAUUUAUUGCAACCAAAAGUUAAGACCGAGUGAGACCUCUUCCUGUUGUUCAUCUCUCUGAUGUAAACGUUUUCUCUCAACGUUAGUUUCGCCGCGCAUGCGCACAAUAAGCAGUCGGGAGUUGAAUGGGUGAAAAAUUAAACAGUCUCAAGAAACCAAUGCCGUGUUUCAUAGAAGUGCGUCAUAUGUUUAAUGAUAAUUGACUCCAGGUCAGAUUGUGUUUAGUUUGUUGACGUAAAGCGUCGUUCCCCCUGAAGCGAAUUGGUCCAAUCAGAAACACGCAUCGGGGUUGAGAGAGUUCAUCUUCUCAACCGUGCUGGUCAGCACAUCAUAAGGUUUCCUCACUAAUUUCAUCCAGACACAGAAUACAGAGGAAAUACAGAUAAUAAGUUCAAAGCAUUUAAAAUGUUCUUUUUUAAACCCACGAUACAGCUAUUUUAAAGCAGCGUUGAAAGGAUGGAGAUGAGGAUAAAAUUCACUCUUCUGUGCGAUUGCAUCGACUAAAUCUGAGUCUGUGUGUGUUUUGCAGAUAAAGGAGUCGUGAAACGAUGGUCACGUUGUUUCUGGCGUAUCAGGUGCGUUCAGAUGUGACGCAAACGUGCAGAUUUGAUUCAAGUACUGGUUCAAUGGUGCGGGGAAAUCAUCAAACACUCCACGCUGCCUUAAGCAUAGGUUGCCAGAUCUGUCCAUCACUUCCGGCGUAAAAUGUCGGGGAUUUUUAAAUCAACGCACGGGCAAAACACAAUCAGAUUUUGAAUCCUGGUAUAAAGUGGAAACACACGGGUUAUAGAUUAAUGAGGGUGAUAACCAGGAUUGAAGGUCUGAAUAAAAUAGUCAGUCAGUCAGUCAGUCAGUCAGUCACUCUCUCUCUCUCUCUCUCUCUCUCUCUCUCUCUCUCUCUCUCUCUCUCUCUCUCUCUCUCUAUGUAUAUAUAUCGUGUGUGUGUACAUUCUAAGUUUGUCAGACAUCUAACAAAAGUCUGUUUUCCAUUGUAGACUAGCAGUACAGUACAAGAGGAUUUAACUAUCUACCAUAAUUAAAGCACACCAUGCAGAUGUUCUUUUAUAUACGGUUAAUUAUUUUUGCGUUUUAACACUACAUGUAAGCAUGAUUAGACCUCUGCCAUGUUUUACUGUUAAGUUUGGUUUACUCUGUUAACAAAAAUGUCAAAUGACAAAAACCUGAUAUUUUCUGCUUUAAGGAAAGCUUUUGUAAAUGUUUUUCAUGUCACAACCCUUUCCUGCAGUAAUAUUUUCCUUCUUCGUUUCCUCACUUAGCUCUAAACGAUUAGAAGAUGUUUGAAGCCAUCAGAUCAGUCCACAUGAUCUCUGAAACCUACUAGUUUUUCUAGAAUGUGGAAAAAAAUGGCCAAACCCCUGAUGUUUCAUCCUGGAGGCAUCAUUACAAUUUGAUAAAGGCUUUUCAUUAAUACUAAAACAUGACUUUCGAGAUGUUUGACAGCUACCUGCAGAGGAGAAGGAUUCAUCACAAUAUUUAGGUUUUUAUGUGAUUCAUAAAUCCUAAAAUCUUUCAAAAAGUUAUUUUAUGCUUUCAUUUCCUCACAUUUGCUGUUCAGUUAAAUAAAUAUAUUACAUUUUCAUCAUUUUUUUAAUGUGCAUAAUCCUUUUAAAGGUCCUAUCACCUAUUUCAGCAUUUGCACACUUUGCACAAACUAGCACAAGUUUAUAUGAAUACAUAUUUUUAAAUGGUGGUUGGUUUGCGUUGUAUUAUCUUCUUAAGACGAUGUUUUUGAGCAAUGGCGGUUUUAAACGGGGGCCCACAGGGGCCUGGGCCCCUGUAGAACUGGCCCUGGCCCCUGUUAUGGCCCCUGUGCUGAAGAGAUCUGAUUUUUUUUCCCCGCGCUGCCUCGGAGACGGAAGCUAAUGCGCUGCAGCGUUUCACACGGAGCCUUUAAAGCGCAGCACACACUGUGGACAGAACUGUUUACGUGGUGGAUUUUUGAAUAAAAGAUUAAAAAUAGUUUUAAUAGGACCCGAAGAAGUUCUUGAGGACGCCAAACUGAAAAGACGCUAAGAGACGAAGGUAAGCAAUACAGUUUAUUUUCCUGACAUCAAUGUUUUGAUCGUAGUCGCGCGUUUCUGUCAUUUACUUUUAAGUUCCUAACUGAGUCUAUCCACAGUUAAUACUGAUUUAUUUUUCCUUUGUAACAUUAACUGUAAAAUAAAAUGAAGUUGCUGCACUUUAAGCCUUAGACAUGUUGAGAUUGGAUCACAGUAUUCAUUUAUCUAUGACUUUCUCGCAGCACUGACUGGAAGCAUCAGCGGCCAUGAAAAGAAAAAGGGACAUUUUGUCCUUUUUUACUGCUGUUAGUAAAGAACAGCGUAGACAGAGAGAGGAUGAAAGUCACGAGGGAGCUGAGAAGCAGGAUGAAAGAGAGAAGGAAGAGUUGGUUGGAGAGGAACCAGAGAGGUCAGAGGCUGUCCACCCUGAGAGUGAGGAGGAGGAAGAUGUAGGCUGUGAGGGAGAGAGUGAGGAGCUAAAAGAGGGACAUCUUCUGUCAUGUGCACCGUGUACACUACCGUCAGGUUUGUGGGUGUUGAACAAACCCCUCUGUGAUUGCAGCUCAUAUUGUGUGUAAAAUGCAUUUGAGGCAUGCUGACUCUGGACCAAAAUUUCUGUUGUUUAUAUUUAAUAAGUAGAUGAAAUAAGACUCUGAAUUAACUAAUCAUGACUUUUAUCCUCAUGCUAACAUUUAUUUUCUUUCAGAUAUCAGCAAGUGCAAGGAUGACCCACCUACUCAGCAUCAUUUGAGGACAUUUCCAGUGACAUUAAUAGGAGACAGAAGACGCAGCUUUCAGCCAAGCUGGAACUGGAAAAAAGCAACUGAGAGAGGAGGGGUUUUCAGUACAUGCAAAGUCUGAAAGGCAUAAGGAUUCAAUGACUACGUUUACAUGCAGCCAAUAUCCGGGUUAUGAUCGGGUUAAGGUCGGUAUUCGGGUUUCUGAGUUCAUCAGGAUAACCCGUUUACAAGCAUAAAUAGAAAAAGUUACCCCUAAUUUGCAUAACCCGAUUUAAAUGCGGACGUUGGGGUAGCGUCAGGACGUAUGGACUACGUCCAGACGCAAUAUGCGUCAUUUCCGGUUCUUCUUGUUCUGGUAUCCGUGAAAACAACAACAUGUUUCCCAGUUCGGAAGAGAUAGCGACCGCAUUUGUUUGCGCUUUAGUUUCCUCGUCACUCCAAAAGUGUGGAGCUGUGCUGCGACUCGCCAUGUUGCUCCCAACUUGUUGUUUACUUCCGGUGUUCUGGCGCAUACAAGACGUCUCGCUACUCAAAAGACCAGGAUUCCUUGCGAACAGAGCAAGCGCAGAACACACGCUUUGAUGGGGAUAUCCUGAUAUGCGUUUACACGACCAAACAUUCGGGUUAGAAAAGGGUUACCCCAGGUGUAGUAACCGUGUUUUUAAAAACCCGGUUAUGAGCAUAUCCGGGUUUUUGGCGGUGUUUACACGGACCUGCGGAACCGGGUUAUUGUGAAUAUUCUGGUUUUAAAAGGGUUAUUGGCUGCAUGUAAAUGCACUCAAUGAUAGCGUGGAGGGACUACCAGAGGGCUGUGAAAGCUAAUACAACAUUGGCUAAUAUACUCGACAAGGAACACAGUAAAAAGGUUAAAGAAAAUCGUGAGUAUAUCAAAACAAUUGGUGAAGUGAUUUUGCUUAUGUGUGUGUGUGUGUGUGUGUGUUGACUACCAAAGGCAAAUUGUAUUGCGCAGAUAUUUGUUUUGUUUGAAUGUUUAUUUUUCAUAUGUACAGUUCAUUUAAUCUUCAAAUAAAGUCACAAACUAUAAUAACUGACUAGAAUUGUUUUUUUACUCAAGUCUCAUGUUGCAGUGAAGCAUUCAGAAUUGUUAUCUGAGUACCAUAAAGACAUGCCAGUUUUACUUUCACAAGUAAACCAUUACUGCAUUCGCCGAAAUAGUUUACUUGUUCAUUGUCUUUUAUUAUGAAUUUUUUUUCUUGCGCCCCCAUGAAAAAAUACUGGCCCCACUGUGGCCCCCCUGGAAAAUUUGGUCUAGAACCGCCCCUGUUUUUGAGUUUGUGUCUCAUCGUAUUUAAAUGCUUGGACAGUUUUCAGAUACUUUUUAUCAUUUCUAAAUGUGACUUAGCUCGGUUUCUCCAGAACUUUGUGUUUGACUCAUGACGAGAGCUCUUUGGUGUUUAUCAUAUUACAUUACUGCAAUUAGCACAAAAAGGAUUUUCCUCCAAAUUCUUCAGAUUUCCUUGAAAAUAUCAGAUGUUUGAAAUUGGCCCCAGUUGGGACCCAUUUCUAGUCAGUAUAGUAGAUCGACAUUUGGCUGCGUAGAGUAUGUGGACGGGUGUCAAUCAGGUUCACAAUCCUGGACACUGCAAUUUUUCCUGGCAAAACUAUUCAAGGUGUCAGACCGCACAGUGAUCGUGUGAACAGAUGUUUUCAAGUCCAGCCACAAAUUUUCAUUCAGAAUGAAUUUUGGUUUGACUCACUCAGAAUAUGCACGUCAUAAUUUCAGACUGUUUUUGUGUAAUCUUCCAACCUCAUGUUCUCUUGUGGAUUUUCUAUAUUUGCUGUGUCAUCUUUUACAAGCCUUCCAGGGCCUGCUGCGGAGAAACGCCCACCACCGUGCUUCACAGUGAGGAGGGUGUGUUUACGGCGAUGUCUCCCAAACAUAGGAUCUCGUCUGAUGGGCAAAAGCCCAAUUUUGGUCUCAUCGGAUGAAAGAACAUCCUUCCACUUAACCAUGGAGUCUCCAACAAACCAUUUAGAAAACUGUAGCUGAGUUUUCUUCAGCAGAACUUUUCUCGUUGUUACUACCACACCACACCACAAAACACCAUACCAUACCACACCACAAUCCACCACACCACACCACAAAACACCAUACCAUACCAUACCACACCACAAUACACCACACCACACCACCAAACACCAUACCAUACCAUACCACACCACACCACAAUACACCAUACCAUACCACACCACAAUACACCACACCACACCAUACCAUACCACUCCACACCACAAUACACCAUACCAUACCACAAUACACCACACCACACCAUACCAUACCACACAAUACAUCACACCACACCAUACCAUACCAUACAUACCACACAAUACAUCACACCACACCAUACCAUACCACACAAUACAUCACACCACACCAUACCACACCAUACCAUACCAUACAUACCACACAAUACAUCACACCACACCAUACCAUACCACACCACAAUACACCACACCAUACCAUACCAUACCACACAAACUUACAAAGCACAUUUAAAAACUGCCUGAUAACUGAUCAAAGUAUUGAACAUAAAAACAGAAUACAACAAAGUUAAAAGAUGGGGCAAAAUACAAGGCAGCACAGUAAAAUCAACUAUAAAAUGCAAGGAAAGAAUAAUGGACUUUAAGAAGUUACUUAAAAUGAAGUAAAAGGGGGGCCAGCCUCACAUUUACAGAAAGCUCAUUCCAGAGUUUUGAGGCAGCAAAAGAAAAUGCCUUCUCCCCAUGAGAUUCAAAGCGUAUCCUGAGUUUCAACAAAAGCAGGUGGUCAGCUUACCUUGGAGAUCGCGAUGGCAUAUAAGGAAUGGUUAGAUCAGAAAGGUAGGAGGGAGCCCUGGUAAUAAAGAAUGUUUUAGUCAGACUAAAAUUUUGAAUUGAACUUAAAAGAGAACCGGGAACCAAUGUACAGUAUAUCAGCCAGAAUAGUUGUGCUGUGUUUAUGACGGUCUGUGUUAGUCAAAAACCAUUCUGCAGCAUUCUGCACCUUCUGAAGGUGAUCCAAGUGUGGCAAGGUGGAGAAGUGAGGGCUUGGGCGAGAUUUGAUCCCCAGGCUCCUGGGUGAGUCACACACGUUAGUCAGUAGGCCAAAGGGAUAUCCCCGUGGCCAAGUAGCCAGGGAGCAUCAUCAAUCGGGAUACAGUGACAGGAUGGUCACCUAGUCACACCUUCCCCUCUCUGUCCACAAGCAUGUCCUCGUGCUCCCACACAGGGUGCCACAAAUUCCAAAUCCAUGGACCUACUUCAGAGUACUACAUGGAUCCUGCCAACAACGCCAAAUGUCACUCGCACUAACCAGUCAGCCGAAGGGAUAUCCCUUUGGCUGACUGAUGACACCUUUAAAGGGUCAAGGAUGCAGUCCAGUCUGGAAUUAAUAAAUGCAUGGUUGCAGUUCUAAGUGAGGCCUCAUGAGUGUGUUUCAAAUAAGUUUCAUUAGCAUAGAUGUGAUAGUUAAAAGCUUUGAUUGGUAAAAAAGACGGGCAACAGUUGUAUUUCCAAGCUCCAGAGUAGUCAUAGGUGCUCUGGUGGCCUCUAACCAUCUCCUUCUUGCAGAGCCACUCAGUUCUUGAGGACAAUCUGAUCUAAGCACAUAUGUACCAGGGGAAGUUCAGUGCCUCGAAAAUCAUUUUGUAUCUUCCUGAUUUCAACUUUUCAAUAACCUUUCCUCAAGUAUUUGGCAUGGAGGAAGGAAUUGUUUGGGGUUUUGGGGGGUUCUGGUGAGCGCGUUUACUUUGGGCACAUUGUUACAUCAGAUGGACUGGCAUCGGGCAGAGGCUCUAUUGGGCUUUCAGCGGGCCGUUGGGAGUAUGACAGGCUGAGCCCUGGCGUGUGUUGAAGCAGCUGGGGCUGAAACAUACCUUAUGGGUGUCUGGCAUUCCAGAUUAAUGGAGGAGGUGGUGAAUAUUUAUGCAGUCGCAUAUUUUAUGUUAUUUAUUAUUUAAUAUAACAUUUUUACUUGGACAUUAAACAUUGUUUUGAUUUAAAAAAUGGUUUUGUUCAAAAAAGUCAAAUUAUGCUGAUUGAUUUUUAAAAGCAACAAAAAAAGUGUAAAAGAGUACUUUUUAUAUGACCUGGAACCAAAUGGCUUGUUUUUGGUUUUGAGCCUGUUUGAAACCGUAAAUUUAACGCUGUCAAAAGGUUAAAUUGACAAGAUCACAGCAGAAUUAAAUCAGUUUUAUUUGGCAUUUCUGCACAGACAGGCUGGUAGGCUGGCUGAGAAAAGUAUGAGUUCUGCAGCAGUAAAAUGGUUUUCAAAUUAAAACCCAGUAAACUGAUCAGCAGAGAAAAAUCACACCGGAGCCUUUUCCCGGACAAAAUAAAUUACCUCUACAGCGGCAAAAGAAGCAAACAUUAGCAGUCAUCACAUGACACUAACUGUAUACAUGUAUGUAUAUACUUAUAUUUAGUAUGUGAAUAUUUACAAACCAGAAAAUACAUAUAAAAAAAACUGUGCACAGAAGACACAACAAAUGGAGGAAUUCACUAAAA